rnacentral:misc_RNA from 1 species
CGGGUUACUUGGGAUUCCCUGUGCCUUCUCAACCUCAAACAUUGAACAUUGAAGUGGAAUGUUCGAAACUUCAAAGGACUAUACAAGGAUACUUGUUUAGUAGCAGUUUAUCAGAUCGCCUUCUCGAGCUCAACUGCCAUGAUUCCGAGACCAGUACAAGAGUGGAGAGAUGAUUAAUUUUGAAUCUCGGAGCUUCUUAAUAGCCCAGAUGUAGUUUGAGGUACCCUUGAAACAUCAGCUUCCAUACAAUGUGUUUCUGGAUGAAUCUCGCCGUCAACUUUGUGCGAUGUACAGCAGACUCCAAAGGCUUCAAAGGGCUUUAAUGGGCUCCAAAGGACUGAAGGACGUUGCUGGACCUUCUAUUACACACCGGGUGUGUCUAUGUGCAGCGGUAUCUAUCUUCUCUGUCAUUGUAGU